CACGUAGGGCGCAAGCGUUGUCCGGAAUUAUUGGGCGUAAAGAGCUCGUAGGCGGUCUGUUGCGUCCGCUGUGAAAACUCGGGGCUUAACCCCGAGCCUGCAGUGGAUACGGGCAGACUAGAGGUAGGUAGGGGAGAAUGGAAUUCCCGGUGUAGCGGUGAAAUGCGCAGAUAUCGGGAGGAACACCGGUGGCGAAGGCGGCAUCCUGGACCAAUUCUGACGCUGAGGAGCGAAAGCCAGGGGAGCAAACGGG
rnacentral:rRNA from 1 species